rnacentral:rRNA from 1 species
AUUCCAGCUCCAAUAGCGUAUAUUAAAGUUGUUGCGGUUAAAAAGCUCGUAGUUGGAUUUCUGCCGAGGACGACCGGUCCGCCCUCUGGGUGAGUAUCUGGCUCGGCCUGGGCAUCUUCUUGGAGAACGUAUCUGCACUUGACUGUGUGGUGCGGUAUCCAGGACUUUUACUUUGAGGAAAUUAGAGUGUUUCAAGCAGGCUUACGCCUUGAAUACAUUAGCAUGGAAUAAUAAGAUAGGACCUCGGUUCUAUUUUGUUGGUUUCUAGAGCUGAGGUAAUGAUUAAUAGGGACAGUUGGGGGUAUUCGUAUUCCUUUGUCAGAGGUGAAAUUCUUGGAUUUAUGGAAGACGAACUACUGCGAAAGCAUUUACCAAGGAUGUUUUCAUUA